rnacentral:rRNA from 1 species
AUGGUUGAGACAAGAAAGAAUGAACAAUAUUAUAUUGUUUAAAAGCUUCUUAAGUUGGUUCUCAUUCUUCCGGUAGCCACUGCUAGCGUUGAGAGGGUAUUUUCCUCGAAGAAAUACGUGAAGAAUUCACUAAGAAACAAAAUGGGUGAUGAAUAUUUGAACAAUUGCUUGGUUACAUUCGUUGAGAGAGAAUUCUUCGGGCAAGUGAAAGAUGAGGAUGUCAUCAAUCUCUUCCAGAAAGGGGAUCGUAAAGUUAUAUUGUAA